rnacentral:rRNA from 1 species
CUACGAGGGGCAGCAGUGGGGAAUAUUGCACAAUGGGCGCAAGCCUGAUGCAGCCAUGCCGCGUGUAUGAAGAAGGCCUUCGGGUUGUAAAGUACUUUCAGCGGGGAGGAAGGGAGUAAAGUUAAUACCUUUGCUCAUUGACGUUACCCGCAGAAGAAGCACCGGCUAACUCCGUGCCAGCAGCCGCGGUAAUACGGAGGGUGCAAGCGUUAAUCGGAAUUACUGGGCGUAAAGCGCACGCAGGCGGUUUGGUAAGUCAGAUGUGAAAUCCCCGGGCUCAACCUGGGAACUGCAUCUGAUACUGGCAAGCUUGAGUCUCGUAGAGGGGGGUAGAAUUCCAGGUGUAGCGGUGAAAUGCGUAGAGAUCUGGAGGAAUACCGGUGGCGAAGGCGGCCCCCUGGACGAAGACUGACGCUCAGGUGCGAAAGCGUGGGGAGCAAACAGGAUUAGAUACCCUAGUAGUC